GAGUAUUCAGCAGUGAUUGUGUAGUAUAGUGGUGGAGUAUUCAGCAGUGAUUGUGCAGUAUAGUGGUGGAGUAUUCAGCAGUGAUUGUGCAGUAUAGUGGUGGAGUAUUCAGCAGUGAUUGUGCAGUAUAGUGGUGGAGUAUUCAGCAGUGAUUGUGUAGUAUAGAGGUGGAGUAUUCAGCAGUGAUUGUGCAGUAUAGUGGUGGAGUAUUCAGCAGUGAUUGUGUAGUAUAGAGGUGGAGUAUUCAGCAGUGAUUGUGUAGUAUAGAGGUGGAGUAUUCAGCAGUGAUUGUGUAGUAUAGAGGUGGAGUAUUCAGCAGUGAUUGUGUAGUAUAGAGGUGGAGUAUUCAGCAGUGAUUGUGUAGUAUAGAGGUGGAGUAUUCAGCAGUGAUUGUGUAGUAUAGAGGUGGAGUAUUCAGCAGUGAUGGUGGAGUAUUCAGCAGUGAUUGUGCAGUAUAGCGGUGGAGUAUUCAGCAGUGAUUGUGUAGUAUAGCGGUGGAGUAUUCAGCAGUGAUUGUGUAGUAUAGCGGUGGAGUAUUCAGCAGUGAUGGUGUAGUAUAGAGGUGGAGUAUUCAGCAGUGAUUGUGUAGUAUAGAGGUGGAGUAUUCAGCAGUGAUGGUGGAGUAUUCAGCAGUGAUUGUGCAGUAUAGAGGUGGAGUAUUCAGCAGUGAUUGUGCAGUAUAGAGGUGGAGUAUUCAGCAGUGAUGGUGUAGUAUAGAGGUGGAGUAUUCAGCAGUCAUUGUGUAGUAUAGAGGUGGAGUAUUCAGCAGUGAUUGUGUAGUAUAGUGGUGGAGUAUUCAGCAGUGAUUGUGUAGUAUAGCGGUGGAGUAUUCAGCAGUAAUUGUGUAAUAUAGAGGUGGAGUAUUCAGCAGUGAUGGUGGAGUAUUCAGCAGUGAUUGUGCAGUAUAGCGGUGGAGUAUUCAGCAGUGAUUGUGUAGUAUAGCGGUGGAGUAUUCAGCAGUGAUUGUGUAGUAUAGAGGUGGAGUAUUCAGCAGUGAUGGUGUAGUAUAGAGGUGGAGUAUUCAGCAGUGAUUGUGCAGUAUAGUGGUGGAGUAUUCAGCAGUGAUUGUGUAGUAUAGAGGUGGAGUAUUCAGCAGUGAUUGUGCAGUAUAGUGGUGGAGUAUUCAGCAGUGAUUGUGUAGUAUAGAGGUGGAGUAUUCAGCAGUGAUUGUGUAGUAUAGAGGUGGAGUAUUCAGCAGUGAUUGUGUAGUAUAGAGGUGGAGUAUUCAGCAGUGAUUGUGUAGUAUAGAGGUGGAGUAUUCAGCAGUGAUGGUGGAGUAUUCAGCAGUGAUUGUGCAGUAUAGCGGUGGAAUAUUCAGC